UCUGGUGAUUAUUACUUAAGGGGUCAUACCUGUUCCCAUUCCGAACACAGAAGUCAAGCCUUUAGGUGCCGACGAUAUUUGCGGGUUACCCUGCUGAGAAAAUAGGUUGUCGCCAGUU
rnacentral:rRNA from 1 species